UACGUAGGGCGCAAGCGUUGUCCGGAAUUAUUGGGCGUAAAGAGCUCGUAGGCGGUCUGUCGCGUCGGAUGUGAAAACCCAGGGCUCAACCCUGGGCCUGCAUUCGAUACGGGCAGACUAGAGUUCGGUAGGGGAGACUGGAAUUCCUGGUGUAGCGGUGAAAUGCGCAGAUAUCAGGAGGAACACCGGUGGCGAAGGCGGGUCUCUGGGCCGAAACUGGCGCUGAGGAGCGAAAGCGUGGGGAGCAAACAGG
rnacentral:rRNA from 1 species